rnacentral:rRNA from 1 species
CAGUCGCCGCGGUAAUACGAAGGGUGCAAGCGUUAAUCGGAAUUACUGGGCGUAAAGCGCGCGUAGGUGGUUUGGUAAGAUGGAUGUGAAAUCCCCGGGCUCAACCUGGGAACUGCAUCCAUAACUGCCUGACUAGAGUACGGUAGAGGGUGGUGGAAUUUCCUGUGUAGCGGUGAAAUGCGUAGAUAUAGGAAGGAACACCAGUGGCGAAGGCGACCACCUGGACUGAUACUGACACUGAGGUGCGAAAGCGUGGGGAGCAAACAGGAUUAGAUACCCCCGUAGUCCCUGUCUCUUAUAA